GACGAACGCUGGCGGCGUGCUUAACACAUGCAAGUCGAACGGUAAGGCCCUUCGGGGUACACGAGUGGCGAACGGGUGAGUAACACGUGGGUGAUCUGCCUUGCACUUCGGGAUAAGCCUGGGAAACUGGGUCUAAUACCGGAUAGGACCACUGCCUGCAUGGGUGGUGGUGGAAAGCUUUUGCGGUGUGGGAUGGGCCCGCGGCCUAUCAGCUUGUUGGUGGGGUGAUGGCCUACCAAGGCGACGACGGGUAGCCGGCCGGAGAGGGUGACCGCCCACACUGGGACUGAGAUACGGCCCAGACUCCUACGGGAGGCAGCAGUGGGGAAUAUUGCACAAUGGGCGCAAGGCUGAUGCAGCGACGCCGCGUGAGGGAUGACGGCCUUCGGGUUGUAAACCUCUUUCAGCACCGACGAAGCGCAAGUGACGGUAGGUGCAGAAGAAGGACCGGCCAACUACGUGCCAGCCGCCGCGGUAA
rnacentral:rRNA from 1 species